UUUAAAUAGAAAAAAGAAUUGGAUCUUUGACUAAAGAACAACAAAAACCCAAACAAAAAAUCCAGGUGGAUUAAAGACCUAAAUAUGAAAAGAAAUACAGAAGAAAGCAGAUGUAGGGGGGGACUUCCUGAGUAAAACACAAAAAGCACAAAGUAAAAGUUCAACAACAAACUUACUGAGAACAGAUGAAUGAAACCUUGCCUGUCCUAUAAGGAAUACAGUCAUCUGCCAGAAGAAAAAUGGUGAUUCUUCCCAGUCCAAAGGUGAAGAUGGUGACUGUGAAAGUAUCAGCUUUAGCCAGACCACUGAUGAAGCUCCCAGAUGUCACAGCAUCCAUGGGCUUGUGAUCUCAGGUGAAGGCGUUGAACCCUGAGCCCUGGAUUCCCAUCUCUUCACUUGCUCCCUCCACCACCCCACCCCCAUAUUCAGAAUGGCCUCUAGGCUUCUAGGUUUGUGUCUUUAAUGGCACCUAGGCAAUAAAUAAAAAAUACAGUGCAGUGCUGACUGCA
rnacentral:antisense_RNA from 1 species